AGAGUUUGAUCAUGGCUCAGGAUGAACGCUAGCUACAGGCUUAACACAUGCAAGUCGAGGGGAAACGACAUCGAAAGCUUGCUUUUGAUGGGCGUCGACCGGCGCACGGGUGAGUAACGCGUAUCCAACCUGCCCACCACUUGGGGAUAACCUUGCGAAAGUAAGACUAAUACCCAAUGACGUCUCUAGAAGACAUCUGAAGGAGAUUAAAGAUUUAUCGGUGAUGGAUGGGGAUGCGUCUGAUUAGCUUGUUGGUGAGGUAACGGCCACCAAGGCGACGAUCAGUAGCCGGACUGAGAGGUUGAACGGCCACAUUGGGACUGAGAUACGGCCCAGACUCCUACGGGAGCA
rnacentral:rRNA from 1 species